GGUCAGUAGGACUGUUCCUGUCUGUACUAGAUAACCAGGUCUGUAAUCCACUCUGGUGAUUGGUCAGUAGGACUGUUCCUGUCUGUACUAGAUAACCAGGUCUCUAAUCCACUCUGGUGAUUGGUCAGUAGGACUGUUCCUGUCUGUACUAGAUAACCAGGUCUCUAAUCCACUCUGGUGAUUGGUCAGUAGGGCUGUUCCUGUCUGUACUAGAUAACCAGGUCUAUAAUCCACUCUGGUGAUUGGUCAGUAGGACUGUUCCUGUCUGUACUAGAUAACCAGGUCUCUAAUCCACUCUGGUGAUUGGUCAGUAGGACUGUUCCUGUCUGUACUAGAUAACCAGGUCUAUAAUCC
rnacentral:lncRNA from 1 species